rnacentral:rRNA from 1 species
AUGGAGGGGAGGGUGGGCAUUGCGGUGGCAGGUGGCCAUGAAGCCGGUCUCGGCCUGUUCAGAGCAGAUGUUUCCAUGGCGGAGCCGCAAGGAGCAGCCAAGGUGGAGUACCGCUCCUCUCCCUCCUCGCCGUCGACCUCCCCGACGCCGUCCCCGCCGCAGGCCUCGGCUGGCCACGGAGGAGGGUACGCGGCAGCGACGCCGCAUGCGUGGAGCUUCGGCGGUGAGCAGGAAAAGCCGAGCGAGGCCAGCGCGGGGGACAAGGGCAACGGCAACGGCAUGCAGAUGGCGGGUGACGGCGAGCAGGUGGCCGGCUUGAGCUCCGGGCGGCGCAGGGGCCGGCCGCGCGGCUCGGGGAGACGACAGAUCCUAGCCACCCUAGGGGAAUGGUAUGCGCUCUCAGCUGGAGGGAGCUUCACACCGCAUGUCAUCAUCGUCCCAGCUAGAGAGGAUGUGGCGGCGCGCAUAAUGUCAUUCUCCCAGAGGGGUCCGCGCUCGGUCUGCAUCCUCGCUGCCAGUGGGACCAUCUCCAAUGUGGCAUUCAACAAGCCUGGCUCUUCUGGCUCAUCUGAUAGCACCUUCACCUACGAGGGCCUGUUUGAGAUUCUUCAGCUGACUGGCUCCUUUACAAUGGCCGAGGAGGGUGGCCGGAAGAGGACCGGUGGGCUCAGUGUGUCACUUGCUGGCCCCGAUGGUCGUGUCAUUGGCGGAGUAGUCGCCGGUAUGCUGCGUGCUGCCACUCCAAUCCAGGUGAUUGUGGGGAGCUUCCUACCAAACAGUCUGAAGCAGCAUCAGAGGAGGAUGGGCCUGCACCCGCAACCAUCUGCCGUUCCGGCGCUGCCGGUGGCUGACGCCCCUCCUCCGGUGCUCACAGCUGCAAUGCCCAUCUCUCAGGCGGCUCCCAGCAAUGGUCGCCAUGGGCCUCCAGUCCCCAUGGCGCCCCUGCAAGUCCAUGCCAAUGUGGAGCACACUGCAACCACCGGCCCCAUGAACCUCAACUCAAGCUCCGCAGGCUUCACCAUGGUCGGCUGGCCUGUUGGCGCACAACCCAUCAUGGGUCACAGGCUUUCCCCUGAUAUCAACCUCUGCUUGACUCCCCAGGAGUAG